AGAAGAGUCAAACUUAAGAGGCAGAUUUGCCAUUUUACAAACCUUGAAGCACUUGGAGUUGAUGAUGGAAUGGAUUUUGGGCUUUGUGACUGCAGCUUCUCUUUCUCCUCUGCUGCUGAUCCUUGGAUGAUGAGUACCACCGAGAAAAGGCACACUGUAGCAGAUUACAAUGCAAUUAUAUCAUUCCCUUUCCUCCUUCCAAUGCCAACAUAUGACAGAACAGUAAAUAUCACUGCAGUACAGACAUAUGUGCAUAGCUGCAUAUAAUGGGUCCCUUAGUGCAGGCAUUGUGAUUGGUUUUGAUAGUCUAAGCCACAAAUGAGGAGGUAAAAUGGUAAAUGGAAGAAACAGAGGCUGCGUGUCCUUUACCAAUAGAUGGAAAUUCUCAGCAUUGAAAGGAUGCAUCUGCUACAAUUACUAACAUGCCAAUCCUGAAUGUUGCUAAGGUAGCUGUGCCAGCCCUGCCCCUCGUUCCUUCACUCUCAGUUCAGUCCUAUUUAUACCCCCUCUGAACCUCCAAACAUCACAUGUCCUCCAUGGGUCUUCCCUCAGCAAAACUCCACCUGAGUCUGUCUUAGCAAAACUUCUUGCCUCUGUAUCAUCUGACAUCACCUAAUAUGAAGGCAAUCUUUGUUAUUACCUUGACUAGAGUUAGAUUUUCCAAAGAGAAACACAUAUGGAAGUGCUUGUGAAGGUGUUUCUAGAGAGGAUUAAUUGAGAAGAUAGGACCUGCCACUAAUUGGAAGCUAACUGACAGGAACUGAUGUCCCAGGCUGAAUAAAGUGGGGGAGAGGAGAAAAAUCA
rnacentral:lncRNA from 1 species